rnacentral:rRNA from 1 species
AGAGUUUGAUCCUGGCUCAGGACGAACGCUGGCGGCACGCUUAACACAUGCAAGUCGAACGAGAGAAGAGGAGCUUGCUUUUCUGAUCUAGUGGCGGACGGGUGAGUAACACGUGAGCAAUCUGCCUUUCAGAGGGGGAUACCGAUUGGAAACGAUCGUUAAUACCGCAUAACAUAAUUGAACCGCAUGAUUUGAUUAUCAAAGAUUUAUCGCUGAAAGAUGAGCUCGCGUCUGAUUAGCUAGUUGGUAAGGUAACGGCUUACCAAGGCGACGAUCAGUAGCCGGACUGAGAGGUUGAUCGGCCACAUUGGGACUGAGACACGGCCCAGACUCCUACGGGAGGCAGCAGUGGGGAAUAUUGCACAAUGGAGGAAACUCUGAUGCAGCGAUGCCGCGUGAGGGAAGAAGGUUUUAGGAUUGUAAACCUCUGUCUUCAGGGACGAAAAAAGACGGUACCUGAGGAGGAAGCUCCGGCUAACUACGUGCCAGCAGCCGCGGUAAUACGUAGGGAGCGAGCGUUGUCCGGAAUUACUGGGUGUAAAGGGAGCGUAGGCGGGAUCGCAAGUCAGAUGUGAAAACUAUGGGCUUAACCCAUAAACUGCAUUUGAAACUGUGGUUCUUGAGUGAAGUAGAGGUAAGCGGAAUUCCUAGUGUAGCGGUGAAAUGCGUAGAUAUUAGGAGGAACAUCAGUGGCGAAGGCGGCUUACUGGGCUUUAACUGACGCUGAGGCUCGAAAGCGUGGGGAGCAAACAGGAUUAGAUACCCUGGUAGUCCACGCCGUAAACGAUGAUUACUAGGUGUGGGGGGACUGACCCCUUCCGUGCCGCAGCAAACGCAAUAAGUAAUCCACCUGGGGAGUACGACCGCAAGGUUGAAACUCAAAGGAAUUGACGGGGGCCCGCACAAGCAGUGGAGUAUGUGGAUUAAUUCGAAGCAACGCGAAGAACCUUACCAGGUCUUGACAUCGUAUGCAUAGCUCAGAGAUGAGUGAAAUCUCUUCGGAGACAUAUAGACAGGUGGUGCAUGGUUGUCGUCAGCUCGCGUCGUGAGAUGUUGGGUUAAGUCCCGCAACGAGCGCAACCCUUACUGUUAGUUGCUACGCAAGAGCACUCUAGCAGGACUGCCGUUGACAAAACGGAGGAAGGUGGGGAUGACGUCAAAUCAUCAUGCCCCUUAUGACCUGGGCCUCACACGUACUACAAUGGCUGUCAACAGAGGGAAGCAAAGCCGCGAGGUGGAGCGAACCCCUAAAAGCAGUCUUAGUUCGGAUUGUAGGCUGCAACCCGCCUACAUGAAGUCGGAAUUGCUAGUAAUCGCAGAUCAGCAUGCUGCGGUGAAUACGUUCCCGGGCCUUGUACACACCGCCCGUCACGCCAUGGGAGUCGGUAACACCCGAAGCCUGUAGUCUAACCGCAAGGAGGACGCAGUCGAAGGUGGGAUUGAUGACUGGGGUGAAGUCGUAACAAGGUA